rnacentral:sRNA from 1 species
GGUGCCGCACCGGCCGCGGGCGCAGGGAGUAUUAUGGGCUGUGGGUGCCGCUGAGCAAGAUGGAGCUGUCUGCAGUGGGCGAGCGGGUCUUCGCGGCCGAAUCCAUCAUCAAACGGCGGAUCCGAAAGGGACGCAUCGAGUACCUGGUGAAAUGGAAGGGGUGGGCGAUCAAGUACAGCACUUGGGAGCCCGAGGAGAACAUCCUGGACUCGCGGCUCAUUGCAGCCUUCGAGCAAAAGGAGAGGGAGCGUGAGCUGUAUGGGCCCAAGAAGAGGGGACCCAAACCCAAAACUUUCCUCCUGAAGGUAACCUGGCCCAGCCCCAGCAGCAUCCCCCUCUCGGGCCCCCAGCCCCGGCACAGCACGGGGCCUGGAAGGGAGGGACAGAUACGCGGCCGCCCAAGCGGGCGGGCCUUUUCAGAGGGGCCCCAGCUGGGCAGGGGGUGGUUGUGAGCCCCCCCAGAAGCCCCGAUGGCAAGCCUCAGCCAGCUUCAGCUUCAACAAGAGGGUCCUGGGACUGGGGAUAAUCCUCCCAGUUGAAACCAGGGGCUGGGGAUGCCUUUAGGGCUCCAGGAAAGGGGGUGGCUGAGGCAGGUGGGGGAUGCCCAUGGGAAGGGGGCAUUUGUUUGAGCUGUUAUGACUGUGCUGGGAGUUGGAACCCAGGGGGAGAGUGAGUGGGGUCCCACCUCCUGGCAGGGCACAAGGAGAGGAUUUGGGGGACCACCUGCCUCCCUGCCCCCAGCUUCCCCCGUUCCGUCUUUCAGGAUUUGUUCUUCAUGGCUCCCCUCCUUUCUUGGGGAUCCAACUUGAAUUUGACCUCAAAUCAUUUCACUUUGAAUUUAUCACCCAGGCUGGGCCGCUAACUUUAGGGCUCUGAGCCUCAGUUUCCCCCCACUCCCGGCCAUUUCUGGGGGAUGGGGAUGUGGGAGUGAGAGCAUAGCAUAUUAGCCUCUGCUAGGGAGGGAAGAACUUCCAGAGGAAGCCAUCUUGGAGGAUUUGGGUUAUUUUAUUUUGACAAGGAAAAACAGAGUCUGGGAAAGGAAGGGCAAGAUGGCCCUAGGUGGCAGGCACGGCUGCAGGUGGGACUCACUGGGCCACCUGUCUUCCUGUAGUGCUACGGAUGCCUCAGGGCCCCCUCCCACCCGACAGCCGGUGACUUUGUGGGAGGACUCUUUUUCGGAAAAGAGAAGCAGAAGUGAAAGAAAUGUUGGUUUCCAGAAUUUCAUAUUUUUAUAACCCUCACCCUCAAGCGACGCACAUCCUAGGGGAUCCAGGGAGUAACCUUAACCCUGAUGCUUCUCUUGGGGAGGGAUGGGCGGAGCAGCUGGAAGGCUGGUGGGCUGUGUGACAGCCUCUCAGUGCAGCUGGGGCACCCUCUAGCGGCGAAGCGAGUAUGACCAUGAGCAUUGAUACACAGAACGCCUUUUUUUCUUGAUAGUUCUUUUGGUUCCUGAGCUGGGUGUGGGCCUAAUACAGGGCUGAGCCCCCACAUGGAUUAUCUCCAUUAAUUCUCUCAACAGUUCCAAGAAGUAGGGAGUAUUAUCCCCAUUUCACAGAUAAAAAAUCAAGGCCCAGGAAGGGAAAGUGACUUAACCCGAGGUCCAGCUUCCUGGCUUCAUCCUGUCUCCUUUUCUUCAUCUUGUGCCUUGAGGAGUCCAUGUCAGGUUAAAGGGGGAAGGCAGACACACACAGGAAACUAUGAAGGCUGCAGAGCUGGCGUGGCAGGGGAUAGAGACGCAGAUAGUAGGACUUUUUUAUCUGGACCCUAAGAAACAGGUAGCCUGAGAGUGAUGUGGAUGUUUGUGAGGGGCUAUGGAGAUUAGCUUGGGCCGAACACAUUGCUCUGGGGCUCCCUGAGAGGCAGUAUGGCAGAGUCAGCAAAUUACACUCAGCGCUUUCUGCCAGGAACUACUCUGAAGCAAACAGGAGCCCAUGAGAUAGUUUCCAUCCUCCCUGUUUUACGCAUGGGGAAACAGGGCCAGAGGUGUCCAGUAACUUGCCCACAGACAUGGGGAGAGGCUGUGGUAGAGUUCAGGUGCUCGAACCUUCACACCAUCUACGGUGCAUGCCAAGCCCACAGAGCUAUGCCUGUCACCUGGUCGGGGUGCAAUAAGCAUGUUGGCUACAGUUAUUUUUAAUUCAUUAGGCAGACCCAGGUCCCACUUUCAAAGAGUUCUCCAUGUGGGGAGGAAGAGGAAGGGUGAACCCUUU